CCUGUUGGCUCCCAGUAGGAAGGUUCACAGCAUUGGCAGAAUAACAACAAAAACGCAAGUGCUUUCUGAGAAACCCAAGCAUCAAACAUACGUCAUUCACAAACAGUUUUGCACGCUUGCCACUUACUGAAAGAACCAGCACACGGCUUGGAUCAUUUCUUUCUAGGAGAUGCUGUCACACGCUCCUUACCUUGCUGGUAACGUGAGUAACCUGGAUGGAACAAAAUUCCUUAUGUGGUCAGGUGUGCUAAUCUUCUGUCAACAGGAAUACUUAAACUGCGAUAAGGCUGAAGGACAAGGUUAAUGCAAGGAGGCGGGUCUGAACCGUGAGAGCCAGGCCAUUCAGCGCCUUUGAAACACGAGCCUUGAGAUCCAGAUCUGGACUUCACUGCCACCGGGGUAAAUUGGAGAACCUUUGCAGUGGAAACCCUGAAUCCAGAAACCUCUUGGAAAUCACAGGUCUUAUUCCAAGCUCCUUGCCUCUAUUUUUUUUUUUUUUUUCUGCAUCUAAAUAUGCCAAAUCAUCAAAUAACAAGACCAGCGAAGGUCAUAAAUGUGAGGAUUGGUCGCAAAGUCACUUUUUCAUCACCAUCGUAACAGCAAACCAUCACUAAAUGAGGCAGUUGCUAAAUGAGGACUACCCUUAGUGUUCCCUUUUUUUAGUGUUAUGAGUUUGUUCAAAGAUAAUCUGGUUGGUUUGUUUAUAGGUUUUCAAUCUCCUGCCA